rnacentral:rRNA from 1 species
CAACGUGAGCAACCUGCCUUUCAGAGGGGGAUAACAGUUGGAAACGACUGCUAAUACCGCAUAACGCUGCGAUGGGGCAUCCCGAUGCAGCCAAAGGAGCAAUCCGCUGGAAGAUGGGCUCGCGGCCGAUUAGCUAGUUGGUGGGGCAACGGCCCACCAAGGCGACGAUCGGUAGCCGGACUGAGAGGUUGAUCGGCCACAUUGGGACUGAGACACGGCCCAGACUCCUACGGAAGGCAGCAG